rnacentral:rRNA from 1 species
UACGUAGGGUGCGAGCGUUGUCCGAAAUUAUUGGGCGUAAAGAGCUUGUAGGCGGUUUGUCGCGUCUGCUGUGAAAAUCCGGGGCUCAACCCCGGACUUGCAGUGGGUACGGGCAGACUGGAGUGUGGUAGGGGAGACUGGAAUUCCUGGUGUAGCGGUGGAAUGCGCAGAUAUCAGGAGGAACACCGAUGGCGAAGGCAGGUCUCUGGGCCACUACUGACGCUGAGAAGCGAAAGCAUGGGGAGCGAACAGG